AUCUUGAAAAUUAAAGAAGUUGGCGGUAUUUUAGUCUAUUCAGAGGAACCUGUCCUAUAAUCGAUAAUCCACGAUUUGAUUUACUUAUUUUUUUAAUUUGUAUAUCGCUGUAGUUGAAUAUUUUUUAAAAAAAAUAAUGUUCAAGAUUUUUAAUUAAAAAAAAUCAGGUCAAGGUGUAGUUUAUAUAUAAGAAGAGGUGGGUUACAAUAAAAUAAUUUAUAUGAAUAGUUUUUUUAAAAAAAAAAUUGAAAGUGGAUUUGAGGGUAAUUUUAUAAAAAUUUUUAAAAUGAUUUUAGCUCUAAAGUAUGUACAUAUCGCCCGUCACUUUCAUUUUAAGAUGAAAUAAGUCGUAACAUAGUAGGUGUACUGGAAAGUGUAUCUAGAAAGAUCAAAUUAAAGCUUUUAUAGCAUUUUAUUUACAUUAAAAAGAUUAUUGUUUAAUCAUUAUAGUUUGAAAAUAGUUAAUUAUUUAAAAUUUUUAUUAAUUAAUUUUUAUAAGAAAUAAUUUUUGUUUUUAUUAAUUUUUUUGAACUAAUAAUAAUUAUAAUAGAAUAUUAGUAUUGUGAAAGAAUUUAUUUUUUUAAUUGUAAGAAAAAUUUAAUUUUUGUACCUUGUGUCUCAGGGUUUAUUAAAUAAAUUUUAUUUAGGUUAGUUUUCUCGAGUUUAAAAGGGUUAUGAAUAUAAAUUUAUUAUUGUUGAAUAACUAUUAUAAAUAUAUUUAUAGAAGUGAAAUGCUAUUCGAUUUUGAAUAUAUCUAGUUUUUUAAGAAAAAAAUUUAAUUUUAUUUUUUAUUUAGUAUUUAGUUAUUUUGUUAAUCUAAUAUUUUGAGGGUUUUAUAUUCUAGGGGAUGAGCUUUAGGAUAAAAUAAUAAAAUUUAUAUUUUAGAUAUUUUAAUAAGUAGAAUUAUAAGUUUUUAUCUUUUAAAGUGUUUUAUAACAAUUUAAUUUUUUAAUAAAAUUUAUAUAAAUAUAAAUUUAUUUUUUAUAUUAAAAUAUAAAUUUUAAGUUUUAAAGUUUAGUAAAAAUGAUAAAAUUAGUAUAAUUUUUUUGUUUUAUAAUUUUAUUAUUAUUUUAGAUUAAGUAAAGUAACUCGGCAAAUGUAUUUUUCACCUGUUUAUUAAAAACAUGGCCUUUUGUAUUUGCGUAUAAGGUCUGACCUGCCCAAUGAAUAAAUUUUAAUGGCCGCGGUAUUUUGACCGUGCAAAGGUAGCAUAAUCAUUAGUUUUUUAAUUGAAAGCUUGUAUGAAAGGUUGGAUGAGGAAAUAGCUGUCUCUAUUUAAACUAAUUAGAAUUUUAUAUUUAAGUAAAAAAGCUUAAAUUUUUAUAAAAGACGAGAAGACCCUAUAGAGUUUUAUAUUUUUUUGUGUUUAAGUUUUUAGAAUUUUA
rnacentral:rRNA from 1 species